rnacentral:rRNA from 1 species
AAACGUAGGAUGCGAGCGUUAUCCGGAGUUACUGGGCGUAAAGCGCGGGCAGGCGGGUGGUCAAGUCGGACGUGAAAGCUCCCGGCUCAACCGGGAGAGGCCGUUCGAGACUGGCCAUCUGGAGGGCAGUAGAGGAGCGUGGAAUUCCGGGUGGAGCGGUGAAAUGCGCAGAGAUCCGGAGGAACACCAGAGGCGAAGGCGGCGCUCUGGGCUGACCCUGACGCUGAGCCGCGAAAGCAUGGGGAGCGAACGGGAUUAGAAACCCUAGUAGUCC